CCGGAAAGCAAACAGCUGCUGUAGCCUGAUUUGAGUUAAAAUAGUGUGAGUGUUUAGUCUGGCGCACGGCUUCAGGGGAGAUUGGCAGCUGGGUCAAACAAAGUCCUUCCAUUGGCUCCCUUCCCAGGCAGCUUCUGCUAGUGUUUAGGUACUAGUGCAGUGUAGAACCCUUUUCUCAGGCAAAACCUAACAUCUGACCGCACCCUUUUUGCUAUUAAAAAAAAAAAAAAGCUUCUAUUUUUUUCCUCCUGUCGUUAAGAUAAAUUCUCCAGUAGACAACCUCUCCCACUAAUUGUGUAUUAGCAACGUAUUUUAUCUUGAGAGCUUGUACACUGGGCUCUCAACGUGGUGUGGAAGGUAGCCUGUUACAGUGCUGGAUUCAUAAAAGGGCCUUUAUGGUUUGUGAAAGAAUAUCUGUGUGCUUAGGGAGGAAACUUUUUGAUCUGCAGAAAAGCCAGAAGACAUCUAGGACAUCCAUAAAAAUUCAUCAGAGAGCAUUUUACUACUGAGCUGCAAAGGGGCAGGCAGGCUGGAG
rnacentral:lncRNA from 1 species